CCUACGGGAGGCAGCAGUGGGGGAUAUUGCACAAUGGGGGGAACCCUGAUGCAGCGACGCCGCGUCGGUGAAGGAGUGCUUCGGCAUGUAAAGCCCUAUCGGCAGGGAAGAAGCAAGACGGUACCUGACUAAGAAGCCCCGGCUAACUACGUGCCAGCAGCCGCGGUAAUACGUAGGGGGCGAGCGUUAUCCGGAUUCACUGGGUGUAAAGGGAGCGUAGACGGCCAUGCAAGCCAGGGGUGAAAGCCCGGGGCCCAACCCCGGGACUGCCCUUGGAACUGCAUGGCUGGAGUGCGGGAGGGGCAGGCGGAAUUCCUGGUGUAGCGGUGAAAUGCGUAGAUAUCACGCAGAACCCCGAUUGCGAAGGCAGCAUACCGGCGCCCGACUGACACUGAGGCUCGAAAGUGUGGGUAUCAAACAGGAUUAGAUACCCUAGUAGUC
rnacentral:rRNA from 1 species